rnacentral:misc_RNA from 1 species
GAACUGCGAUAAGUAAUGUGAAUUUCAGAAUUCAGUGAAUCAUCGAGUCUUUGAACGCACAUUGCGCCCCCUGGCAUUCCGGGGGGCAUGCCUGUCCGAGCGUCAUUGCUGCCCUUCAAGCCCGGCUUGUGUGUUGGGUCGUCGUCCCCUCCGGGGGACGGGCCCGAAAGGCAGCGGCGGCACCGCGUCCGGUCCUCGAGCGUAUGGGGCUUUGUCACCCGCUCGAUAAGGACCGGCCGGGCGCCAGCCGGCGUCUCCAACCUUUUUUUCUCAGGUUGACCUCGGAUCAGGUAGGGAUACCCGCUGAACUUAAGC